AUCUCUCUCUGGAGAUCACUCCUCUUGGCACCCUUUCUGCAAGUUCAGGCUAUGGGCUGUACAGCCCCAGUUCUCCCAGCCUGUCCUCGUAGGGGAAGAGUUCCAUCCCUUGGAACAUUUUUGUGGCCCUCCUCUGGAUGUGUUCCAACAGUUCUAUGUCUCUCCUGUGAUGAAGACUCCACAUCUGGGUGUAGUACUCAGAAUGAUUUGGUUGAAGAGGUGGGGUGCACUGAGCAAAACUGCUGAUGACACAAACUAGAAGAAGUUACUGAUACACCAGACAGCUGUGCUGCCAUGCAAAGGGACCUGAACAAGCUGUAGAAAUGGGCCAAUAGGAACCUCAUGAAGUUCAACAAGAUGAAAUGCGGAGUUGUGCACCUGGGGAGGAGAAACCCAAGACACCAGGACUUACUGAGGACUCCUGGCUGGAAAACACCAUGACAGUAGAGGAUCUGUGCAACCUGGUGGACACCAAAUUUAACAUGAGCCAGCAAUGGGAUCUGAUGGAAAAGAAGGCUAAAGGUAUACCAGACUACAGUAGGAAAAGCAUCACUGGCAGGUCAAGAGAGGUGACCUUUCCCCUCUACUCAGAACUGGAGAGACCAUACCUGCAAUAAAGUGUCAAGUUCUGGGCUCCCCAGUACUAGAAAGACAUCAACAUACUGGAGAGAAUUCAGUGCAGGGCCAAGAAGAUGACUAAGGGACUGGAGUAUUCCUUGUAUGAGGAAAUGCUGAAAGAGCUGGGACUGUCCAGCCUAGAAGAGGGAAAGCUAAAUGAAAAUGUUACCAAUUCAUAUAGAAUAUUAAUAGAAAGGUGCAAAAAGUAUGAAGUGAGGCUCUUUUCAGCUGUUCUCAGUGACACUGCUGGGUACUGGGUGCAAACUGAAACAGUAGGUGCCAUCUGGACAUCAGGAAACAUUUUUCACUGUAACGGCAACAGAGCAAUAAAACAGUGUGCCUAGAGAGUAAACCAAUGUUCUGGUUGCUGUUGAGUGAAUGCCUCCGUGGCAGGGAAGGGACACUGCCAUUAUGGUGCAGCAAUAAGCCACAGAGCAGGGAGGAAGGGGAAGAGGGGGAGUUUCAGAGAUAGGACAGCUGACCUGAAUUAGACAAAGGGUUAUUCCGUACCAUCUGACAUCACACAAAAGAUCAUAAAGCUGUGGGGAGUUAGUGGGGAACAGCCACUGCUCAGGGAUUGGUGGACGUUUAUCAGUGGUUGUAAGACAUUGCAUUGCUGGUGUGUAGUUAGUCUCUGCCUCAUUCCACUGUGGGGAAUGAGUGAACAGUUUUGUGGUGCUUAGCUGCAUGCCAGGUUAAACCACAACAGGAAUUCAAGUUUUUGCUUUAUUGUCUAAGGUAUUGAGCAUAUGAUAUCAGUGCUUUCUCUACAUUAUACGUUCAGCUGUUUCCCUUGCAUUUAUUGGAUAUUUUUCUUAACUACCAUGUAAAUUUUCAAGGGUUAUUCCCAUAUUCCCACAAAGUAUAAACCUGUUAUAAAGCUCGCUGAAGACAGCAGGGCCCGAAGUGACCAGAUAAUCUCUUUUCCACACUUGUGUUCUACUCAUGAAUAUAAUAGCUCAAGAACAGUAAAAGAACAGAAUGAAGACAAGGACAAAAAGAUUAUAUGGGCACUUGGGAGGUUAAUGCAUGUGGUUCUGCUUUUUUCAGAAGCUAAUACAUAAUUAUUUUCUUCAAUUAGAUGAAAUCAGCUUAACUAAUCAAUUACUGGAAAAA
ensembl:lncRNA